AUUACAAAACUGGCCAAGGUUAGACCAACGUAAAUCCAUGUUCUCCUACUGUACAUUUAGGCCCAAAAGAAACUAGAAAAAGAGGAACGAUUGCCAUUAAAAGUCAACAUCCAAGUUUUUAACCCACAGCGUCAUCUCCUGUCACCCAUUCACUGCAUACUAAAAGUGUAUUGAUUCAUCAGACCAUUGAAUGAUGUUCCAAAGGAGCUCAAUCCAUAGAUCAUCGCACCAGCAGCAUAAUAAGGUGCCAUAUAUCCUUCCAACCCCACCUGUGCACCAACCCAGUAUGGAUUGUAUGCAUAAGAACCAAUAGGCAUCAUAUAGCUCUCAGUCUCAACAUCUUGACUUCUUUCUCUCUUUUUCUUUCCUCUCGCACCACAAACCACCUUUUGCUUGACUUCACCCUUGACCACUUCUCUCUCGUCCUUUUUCUUCUCUACCUCACUGGAAAUCUCCUUUUGCUGCACUUUUUCCUCAACCCCCAUGACACCUCCUUGUGAUGCUGUAUCUUUCAUUCUCAUUGGCCCAAUAGUAUCUUCAGAUACAUUAGUUGCUCCUGUAGUUCUAGCUUUCUUAGUUGUCUGGUGUGGAGCGUCAAUAAGUUUUCUUUUAUUUGCCCCAUCUUCUACAUCACCAGGUGAUGGCUUCUGCUCUUCCUGAAAUGAUUCUGCAGAUGGUUUUGUUGUAGAGAUCUGAGGUUCUGAACAGUGAGCCAAUUCCAUAUCCUUAUCUUGGAAAGAGUUUCUUUUGGCAUUUUCACCACUGCUGCUGUAACAAGGACCAGAUUUCACAAUGCAAUUAAUUGUGUCCCUAAGCGUCAUGUUUGGAAUCAGAUAAUCAGUAAGGAUAUUUGUUGCCCCACAAACACAUUUCAACUUAGAGGUGAUUAGAUGAACCCUGAUACACUUAUCACAAAAGCUCUUG
rnacentral:misc_RNA from 1 species